GAAAAAGAAUGCAAGAACUGCUAACUCAUGCCCCCGUGCAUAAAAACACGGCUUUUUCA
rnacentral:tRNA from 1 species